CCCUGGAACAGAACCAUCCCUCAGAGAAGAACAUUGUUGUUUAGAGUUAAUUGAUUUCCAAACAAAAGUAAGAGAGGAUUUACAAGAAUCCCCAAUACCUGGGGGAGUAAAUUGGUUUAUAGAUGGCUAUUCUAGUGUGGUAUAGAUGGAAAAGGAAAAAUGGGUUUGCUAUUGUGGAUGGAGAUAAAACUUCCACUGUUACCAAGGGCAGUCUACCUGCCCAUUGGUCAGCUCAAACUUGGGAAUUGUAUGCCUUAAAUCAAGCGUUGAAGUUAUUGAGGGACCAGGAUGGGAACAUAUAUGCUGAUUCGAAGUAUGCCUGGGGUGUGGUACAUGUAUUUGGAAAAAUUGGGGAAGAACAAGGGUUUGUAAAUAGUAGGGGUAAAGAGCUGAUCAUACACUAGUCAGAGUUACUAAAAAACAUUCUGGCUCCUAGGAAUGCAGCAGUAAUAUCUGUAAAAUGACAUCAGAUGGGAAAUUCUUCUGAGGCCAGGGGAAACCGAUUAGCAGAUGAGGAGGCCAAGGGAACUGGAGACCAGGAGAUUACUCAUAUAACGGUCUUGAUACCUAUACUUCCCCCUAAAAGAAGUCUUUCCUCUCACAGUUUUAGCCAAAGGAAAAAGAGAAGGCCUCGACUCUCAGAGCAGUUGAGAGCUCAGAAGGACUGUGGCUCUUACCUGAUGGCAGAGAGGUACUGACCAAAGCAAGUACGAGGCAGAUCUUUCAGCAACUGCACCAGGGCAGUCACUGGGAUGUCCAAAACCUGUGUGAUGCUGUGCUGACAAGGAAAUGAUCAGCAGGAGGAUUUAAGAGAGGCCUGGAGAGACUUACAUGAACUGAUGCUGAGUGAAAUGAGUAGUACCAGGAAAUCAUUGCACAUGGCAACAGCAAGAUUAUAUGAUGAUCAAUUCUGUGAGACAUGGCUCUCUUCAACAAUGAGAUGAUUGAGGCCAGUUCCAAUGUGAAGAGAGGGAUCUGCACCCAGUGAGAGAACUGUGAGAACUGAGUGUGAAUUGCAACAUAGUAUUUUCACUUUUUUGUUGUUUGUUUGCAUUUUGAUUUCUUUCUCAUGUUUUCCUUUUCCAGCUGUUUUUUCUUGUACAGUGUGAUAAUUGUCGAAAUGUUUAUAGAAUAAUUUCACAUGUUUAACAUAUAUUGGAUUACUUGCCUCUAGGGAAGGCGGGGGGGAAUGGGAGGAAAAAACUUUGGAACACAAGAUUUGCGAGGAUGAAUGUUGAAAACUAUCCAUGCAUAUGUUUUGAAAAUAAAAAGCUUUAAUAAAUAAAAAAAAAGAAAGAAAAAUA